rnacentral:rRNA from 1 species
CAGUCGCCGCGGUAAUACGGAGGGUGCAAGCGUUAUCCGGAUUUAUUGGGUUUAAAGGGUCCGUAGGCGGAUCUGUAAGUCAGUGGUGAAAUCUCACAGCUUAACUGUGAAACUGCCAUUGAUACUGCAGGUCUUGAGUAAAUUUGAAGUGGCCGGAAUAAGUAGUGUAGCGGUGAAAUGCAUAGAUAUUACUUAGAACACCAAUUGCGAAGGCAGGUCACUAAGAUUUAACUGACGCUGAUGGACGAAAGCGUGGGGAGCGAACAGGAUUAGAUACCCCGGUAGUCCCUGUCUCUUAUAC